rnacentral:rRNA from 1 species
AUUGAACGCUGGCGGCAUGCCUAAUACAUGCAAGUCGAACGGUAACAGGAAGCACUUUGUUGUCUUACUUACGAGUGGCGGGCGUGUGUGUAAUGUCUGUAACACUCCUUUAUGGCUGGGGUUACUUCCUGGAACCGGUGCUAAUUACCGCUUAUCUUUUCAACCCCAUAGUUGGAUAGUUUAGGGCGUCUUUCCAUCCGCUUUUCCCAGAUGGGAUUAGCUAGUAGGUGGGGUAACGGCUCACCUAGGCGACGAUCCCUAGCUGGUCUGAGAGGAUGACCAGCCACACUGGAACUGAGACACGGUCCAGACUCCUACGGGAGGCAGCAGUGGGGAAUAUUGCACAAUGGGCGCAAGCCUGAUGCAGCCAUGCCGCGUGUAUGAAGAAGGCCUUCGGGUUGUAAAGUACUUUCAGCGGGGAGGAAGGGAGUAAAGUUAAUACCUUUGCUCAUUGACGUUACCCGCAGAAGAAGCACCGGCUAACUCCGUG